AUUGAACGCUGGCGGCAGGCCUAACACAUGCAAGUCGAACGGAGCGGCGGACGGGUGAGUAAUGCCUAGGAAUCUGCCUGGUAGUGGGGGAUAACGUCCGGAAACGGGCGCUAAUACCGCAUACUAUCAGAUGAGCCUAGGUCGGACUAGCUUGUUGGUGGGGUAAAGGGCUACCAAGGCGACGAUCCGUAACUGGUAGGAGAGGAUGAUCAGGCGCACGGGAACUGAGAGACGGUCCAGACUCCUACGGGAGGCAGCAGGGGGGAAUAUUGGACAAUGGGCAAAAGCCUGAUCCCGCCAGGCCGCGUGUGUGAAGGAGGUCUUCGGCUUGUAAAGCACUUUAAGUUGGGAGGCGUUACCAACAGAAUAAGCACCGGCUAACUUCGUGCCAGCAGCCGCGGUAAUAC
rnacentral:rRNA from 1 species